rnacentral:rRNA from 1 species
UACGUAGGUGACAAGCGUUGUCCGGAAUCACUGGGCGUAAAGGGCGCGUAGGUGGUUUGAUAAGGGUGUGGUGAAAGCCCGGGGCUCAACCCCGGGUCUGCCGUGCCGACUGUCAAACUCGAGGGCUGUAGAGGCAGACGGAAUCCGGGUGUAGCGGUGGAAUGCGUAGAGAUCCGGAGGAAGACCGGUGGCGAAGGCGGUCGUGCUGGGCAGCUUUCGUGAC